UCUUUGGUGCAAUAUGCGAUGGGUUUAUUUUUUAUUUUUGGCUCAACAUCAACUUUUCAUUAACCAAUUCAAAAGUAUAAGUGAUUCGACCACAACAUAUUUUAACCAAAUACAAUGAAUCAGUUUAGUAUCACCCUGAAACACUAAGAUGGAUUCAACGCUAUCCAACUGAAAUUUACUGUAUUUUUCCAACCACAACGAGAUGAAUUACACCACGACUCUAAGUGAAAUCAUCUCUUAAACCACCUAAAUUCACCCAAUGACACAAAAACAAUUACUAACACAAAGAAAAUCAAAUCCUAUCCUAAGAUCCAAUCCAAAUCCAAGCUAUUAGUCCCUCAUGAUCCGAGUGUAGAACGUGUCCUAAUAGCAUCUACGCCAGAAGCGCAACUUCAAAAAGGUUUUGACUCCUCGGCUUUCACUAUUUCGGUCCUAAGUCUAAAACGGAUAUAGUAAUCCG